GGUGUAACUGUACAAACCUGACCUUAGGUCACGAUAUCAUGGGCACUGAACACAGUUUUCCCUUCCUGCAUCCUACAAAGCUACUUCUCCCACAAAGGGCGACCACAUGUGAAGAGCGAGAUUCCCAGUAAGUAUCUGGUAAACAUUUGGAAACGAGAGACAAAUAGCGCAGUGCAAUUGCACCAUCGUACUUCAAAUACCCACUUGAAAAAAAAGAGAAAGAAUCCAUUCUGCAACGCGCCAAGCCUGGCUCCCAAAACCGGGAGGAAUCGCAACGCCGGUAAACUUGCAGAAAUAUUUUUACAAUUUUAUUAGAGGUUUUAAUUCAGUGCUUUAUCUACCUCUGUUAGUCUGCAAAAUAGCUUUAAAUAUUCAAGUGGUAAUUAAUGAAUCUUUUAUGUUGCAAAUCAAACAUUUUCAUCUGUGCUGUGGUACAGUGGCAGCGAGAAGGAGGGAUUUGGAGCGUAAUUGUUUCUCCUGUUCCCCUCGCAGUGCUGAAUGCCUUUUUACCCUUUAUUAUAUCAUCGGCUUUUGCUUCAGUUCAUCAGCGCGUUGCCACAUCUUAUCGGUCGAUAUUUGCUGUCUGGUUUGUUUUUUUUUUCCUCGGUUCAAGAUUUCUUACUGUGCCUUUGCCAGAGACAUUCCUAAGGAGAUGGAAACUCUCUGAAUGUGGAAUUUUCGCAUGAGUGCAAAAUAAUAAAAAGCAUGUGUGUAUUAAAAAGGGAUCAACUUAAUGGGAAAUGAGCAUUGGGUUACAUUAAUAUUCUAUUACAGUAAAAAUCAUAUUUAAUAAAUUUUCUCCAGAUUUUUCAGAAUCUUACUGUAUUUUUCUAAGUUCUAUGCCAAUCCAAAGAAACAGUGUGUAUGAUACAUUUGAUUUAUGUUAAGUAAAUAACCUGCACAGCCCGUUUUGGGGUUUAAAAAAAAAAUUAAGUGUAGAAACACACACCAGACUGCAGUGUGUGCUUAGUUUCCAUGUGCCGGGAGAAAUAGUGUUGGUCUUGUGCAGCAGAAAGACUUUAUAAACAGUAUUCUAUUUUAUUGAUGCUAUAUGUGGAGUUUUAUGUUAUGUGGCAAGAGCACGAGAAUGAAAACAUUGUAAUUUAUCCUAAACCGUAAAAUUAUACUGGUACUAAAGUAAUUACUUCACAUAUUAAAACACGGUUUCCUUUACUUUCCUUUGUCAUCGCGUAAAAUUAGGAGCUGGGCGCUGCAGUGGAGCUUUU